UUUAGAACUCGAGAUAUGGGCUGAACACUAAACAAUGUCUGGGCUGCAGGACAUAUUCUGACUUCUCCGUUGUUGCUAAGAUUUGGACUUCCAAACAACAGAAUUGAGUCUUGCACUCCCAUAAAUGUUUUAGGCUAUGUCUUAUCUUUCUAGC
rfam:Populus trichocarpa scaffold_10_contig_202, whole genome shotgun sequence.